UUUUUUAUGGAGGUAAUCGAUUACCACCUUUGGUGUAACCGGUUACAUCCCUGAAUGUAUGUCUUAUUUCUGCUUCUGUUUAUGAUGUAAUCGAUUACCACUUUGGGUGUAAUCGAUUACACCCAUGUUUCGUGACUUAUUUUUUCUUUUGUUUUAUGGUGUAACCGAUUACACCUCCCCGGAUAAUCGAUUACACCUGAGCAUUCCAGAAUAUUUUUUAUAUUAAUUAAAUAAAUGCCUUUGGAUAAGUGUAUUUUUACUCAGAUUUUCUUUACUCU
rnacentral:lncRNA from 1 species